ACGGGGGGGACAAGCGUUGUUCGGAUUUACUGGGCGUAAAGGGCGCGUAGGCGGGCCUUCAAGUCAGAUGUGAAAACUUCGAGCUUAACUCGGAGCCUGCAUUUGAUACUGUUGGUCUUGAGUACAGGAGAGGAGAGUGGAAUUCCAGGUGUAGCGGUGAAAUGCGUAGAUAUCUGGAAGAACACCAGUAGCGAAGGCGGCUCUCUGGACUGAUACUGACGCUCAAGCGCGAAGGCUUGGGGAGCAAACAG
rnacentral:rRNA from 1 species